rnacentral:rRNA from 1 species
GCAAGCCUGAUGCAGCCAUGCCGCGUGUAUGAAGAAGGACCUUCGGGGUUGUAAAGUACUUUCAGCAGUGAGGAAGGUGGAUAUGUUAAUAGCAUAUUCAUUUGACGUUAGCUGCAGAAGAAGCACCGGCUAACUCCGUGCCAGCAGCCGCGGUAAUACGGAGGGUGCGAGCGUUAAUCGGAAUUACUGGGCGUAAAGCGCAUGCAGGUGGUUUGUUAAGUCAGAUGUGAAAGCCCGGGGCUCAACCUCGGAAUUGCAUUUGAAACUGGCAAACUAGAGUACUGUAGAGGGGGUAGAAUUUCAGGUGUAGCGGUGAAAUGCGUAGAGANUCUGAAGGAAUACCGGUGGCGAAGGCGGCCCCCUGGACAGAUACUGACACUCAGAUGCGAAAGCGUGGGGAGCAAACAGGAUUAGAUACCCUGGUAG